UACAGAGGUCCCAAGCGUUGUUCGGAUUCAUUGGGCGUAAAGGGUGCGUAGGCGGUGCCGCAAGUCAGAUGUGAAAUCUCGGGGCUUAACCCCGAAACUGCAUUUGAUACUGCGGUGCUCGAGGACUGGAGAGGAGACUGGAAUUCACGGUGUAGCAGUGAAAUGCGUAGAUAUCGUGAGGAAGGCCAGUGGCGAAGGCGAGUCUCUGGACAGUUCCUGACGCUGAGGCACGAAGGCCAGGGGAGCAAACGGG
rnacentral:rRNA from 1 species